CUUCCUUUAUUGUUUCUGGUUUGGAAAAUAAAUAAUAACAAAGAAAAUCAAGUAGACAUAGCAGAUAACAAGAAAAGAAAGAAGUUAUUCCCCGCUAAUGGAAGAUCUGGGGAUAAAAUAAUCCCAUGCUUGUUUGGACUCACAAAUCCAUGCUAAGAAAUUCAGCAGCAUCCGGGGGGUGUGUCCAGGUGUGUGUGCGUUCAACUGCUGGAGCAGCCUGGGAUCAGCUUUCCCCUCAACACCAACUAGCACUUUGCUGAAGGCUCACCAGGCAUUGCUUGGUAGUGCCCACCACUGUACUGGAUGAAAGCUCAAGUGGGAAAAUAGCCUUACUGUUGCACUUGGAUCCUUCUUUUGUUUGCCUCAUUUAUUGGACUAUAUGCAGCCAGAAAGUCCACGCUAAAAGCUGAUGUGGAAUACAGAUACCUUUUGUCUCACUCCAGUGCCUCGUAAGACAUUGUUAUUAAAAUCACCCUGGUAAAAUGAGUGUCCAAAAACAAAGCAAAAAAAGCCUUCAAAUAAGCAGCACAAUUAAGAUACUACUUUGGUUUUCACAUUUGAGGAUGGUUCUAAUUUUUUUGUGAAAGCCUGAGAUUAGACAAAUUAAAGGAAGCGAAAGAACUGAUUCAGAAAUCCUUUCUGAAAAGAUCCCAAAUUAGAUCAUGUAAUUAGUACGUGAGCAUUAUAAGCAUUGACAUUUGGUGGAAAUACAUUUAUGCAAACAAAUUCGGUUCACAUGGUUUAGGAACACUGAAUGAUCUUUAGAAAAGAAUGAUGAUUGAGGUUUAUGUAAGUUUUUGUCAGAUUUAAUUCUGGAUAUUCAAUAGCUCUUAAAACAAGAUUUCUCACCAGUUACUGUAGGAUAUCCCUAGUGGGAAAACUAUUAAUGGUAAUUGUUUAAAAAUGGCAGAAAAAGAAUGCUAGUAAAUGACUGUUUUGAUGUAAGGAAUGUAUGCUGCUGAAGAAACAGGGCAGAUCCCAUAAUUAGUAUCUUCUGCAUUUUUCCUUGCAUAACCUUCCAUGUUUUGCCAGCAAUUUCUUUUGUCUUUCCAAUACCGUUUUGUAUUCAUAAAGCUUGCAGAUUCUGCUGGCAAAAAUAACAGGUAAGAAAACAGUUACAAACAGAAGCCUGUUCUUCUGCCCCUGCCCCCUUCCUAUGGAGAAACAGGAAAAAGCGGGGUGAGAAGAACACUCCUUGGAGAGAAAAACUCUUCCAAAUUUACUUUAAUUUUGCUAAGUGGGCACCGUUGUUAUUGAAAGCUGCUUGCCUAGAAGAACAACUGCUCUUGAGAACUCUUGAGAGCAUGUGAAGAAAUCUGGAGUUGAUUUGUGUAAGCAGGAGGAACAAUCUGUUUCGCUUCACCAGCAUCAUGCAGUUUCGGUGUUACAACAUUCACUUGUUAGAGGAGCUCUGUACAAAAGCUAAUGUUUCUUCAUGGCUAGAGGUGGGCUGAGGUUCCUUCGUCAAUUAAUUUCUAAAUGUUGGGUGUCUGAAGAACACUUCUGGAAACCAGAUUUGCAGGAGGCUCUUUGUUUAGACACUACAGAGGAAUACCUUAAGGAUGCAUCUCAAACUCAAACAUCACAAACAUCCCAUCAACAGAAACCUUUCAGUUCAGUGUCAUCCAUGGAGCGAGAUUCAGAUGCCUGUGCAAGAACUUGCAGCAGCUGUUCUGGAUGUCCUCAAGAUGUAAGAAGCUCCCAGAGAAGGCUGAUGUGAUAUAGGAUGAAAGAAAACUGACCUUCUGGAGAUUUGAUUAGGCACCAAGCAGGACAACAUGAGGCAAGUGAAUCCUAACCUUUCUCUUAAUAAAAAAACACUGUAACUCAGCAUUAAUAAUGAGAUACAGCACUAGCUAAACAAGAUCAAAUGAUCUUGUGUGAAACAAUUAUACCUCAAAAUCAGCUCCAGUGAUACUCAAACUGGGACUUAUAAUACACCAGUCUACAAUUGUAGAAAAAAGCCUUGGGAUGCUUUUGGGAUCCCAGGUAAAUAAUAAAGAUUUAAUAAAUAGCAAAGAUUUGGGAUAUAUGAAAGAUUUAGUGGAAAAAAAGAUUCUGAUCUGUCCAAUUAGUUUGAUUAUAUUUUAUCAGAAAGCUCAGCCAAUACAAAUGAUUCUUGUUCAUUACCAGCCAGUUUAAAAUGCAGUGUUUCACUGUAAUUCAUGUAGAUGUUUUCUGUCCAGUUAAAUAUAAGAUCCUUGGGUAAAUACUGCUACUUUUUGUGUACUGAAUGUAAAGAAGCAUAAGCAACUCCAGCAAUGCUUUGGUACGAGUCAAUAUACACAUAUGUUCGCAUUUCAGACAUUGAAAGGAAAAAUUCUUUUUUACCAGUUAUGUUUUAAGCUCUACUUGCUUUUAGUAGUAAUUCAGAUGAAUUUAAAUCAAUUUACAAAGUUAAGGCUGAAAGCAUUUCAUUUAUAUUCAGUAAUAACCAACAUAAUAUGGCGUUUUACCAAAACAUGGGACGCCUCAAAAACAGAAGACUUUUUUGGUUUCUUGUUGACAGAACUGACAGCUCUUUGCUACUGCUGUUGCCAAAAUAAAUAUGCUAAUUUACUUUUUAAUUCUAUAGCAAGUGUGAAAAUACUCCACUGUGAAAAAUAAAAAUACUUUUUCAUUAUGUAUCUUAAACGGAAAUGUCUUUGAACAUUGUAUUUUUAGUUAUACAUUGAGAGUAAAAAAACUGCUGGCGGCAUUAUUUUUAAGUAGCUGAUUUCAUCACUUAAUUAAACACAGAACAGUAUUCUGGAUAGGUUUAAUAACUAAUGUAAAUCAGAUGAUAAAAAUGGCAUGUAUGAAACAAGUAAUGGCUGCUAAGACAUCUUAAUAUUCUCAAUUUCUAUAUAACUUACUAUUGUAAUCUUAACUUGAGCAUGUGUUAACUGGGCAGACAUAUUCAGCAAGUCUUCUCAGGGCCUCCACGGAGUUAGGCAGCACAUAAUCACCACUGCUCUCACUUCUGUAAUCCAUGGCGCAGGCAGGCUACGUGUUGUUUUCAAAUAGGAGUUCUCCAGAAGAGAGAAACCAGAAGCCAUUUGAAGUUCUCCUGUACUGAAACCUAUGGUUGCAUAGCUACUGUAGGACUUCUGUGGCUUUACAGAUGGAAAUCAGAAUACCUGCCACUCUGACUAAACCUAUAGGACUGCACAUGGGACUGGAAAGAUUAGAAGUGCACAUGCUGUAUUUCAAGAGACUCUUAGACUUCUUCUAAUGAGCAAGUAAGAAUACUGAUUACCCAAACAACAACAUGUGCAAAACAAUGCAUGUGUUUGCAUGUUAGAAGACAGAGGGAAGUUUAUGAGGUUAGAGGUAAAAAAAAAAAAACUUUUUAAUUGUGCAUGACUCAAAUAUAUUCUGUGAAAACUGUAUUUUUCCCUGUGGCUUUUAAAUCUAAGUGCUGCUAAGAACAAGAAACUAAGUAGGUAAAUUUUAUGUUCAAUAUAUCUCAGUUUUGUCUUCUUUAACUAACUGUUGGUUAUAUUUUUUUCUAUUCUUUAUGAGAUUUCUUUCUUUUCCUCCUUCUUCUUGUUUUCUGCCUUUCUUAGAACUAUUACAGUAAAAGUGGCAUAUGAGAAACAUCCUUCUCAUCUUGUCUCCUUAAUUCCAACCAGGAAGAUAAUGGGUUAGUGUACCGUUCUUAAGACAACUGUUAUGCAGCUUGGAGUACCUUCAGUAUGGGGAGAUACAAGAAAAGGAUCCUACCUAACCAAGGUGUGCUUAACAUCUCUACCUUCCACUCUACAGCAAAUGCUCAGUGCUGACUGUGAACACAAAUAAGGUGCAGAGAUUACCCAAAAUGUGUUCUGAUUCAAUUUACUGAGCUUAACAGCUGAAAUUUGUGCUAGGCUUUAAAAUGAAGUCAGAGCAUCUUUUCCAGUCUGCUGUGUCAGGAAAACAUUCAAACUGGAAUGAAGCAUCCAAUUCCAUAGACAGUUACGCCUGACACAGAGAGUAGACAGGUUAAGUUUUUAGCAUGAACAACUAAAGAACUUGAAGUGGUCAUUGGAAAAAACUCAUAUAUGCUUUACUAUUAUCUAAUAGUUCUGUUCAAAAAGUUAGCUGUCAGUUUGGCUUAAUGUCAAAGGAAAUAGCUUUUCAGCACUUGUCACGGCAUCACAGAACCUGAAUAUUGUUGAUGUUCUUGAUAUUUUCAGUCUGGCUCUAAACAUUACUCUGUUCGUAUUUUAGUCACCUUGGAGAGAUGAAUGAAUUUCAGAUGUUCUGCUGGUAGUGGCCACAUCUGCUGCAUCAUAGGUACAGCUGCUACCGCCUUGUACACUGUGAAUGAAUUGACAACAGUCCUGGAGUAGUAUUUUUCCUUGGAUGACUGUAAUGGGUAAGGGAAGAACUGCUUCCUUUCCUGAAGGAGGGCAACAUGGCACGUUGGUGUCUUCCUGUUAUAGAAAGCAUUUCAGAAAGCUGAUGCCAUCCAACUGUAUGUGCCUAUGACUAAGUCAACAGAGAUGCUUUAAAGAAUGUUUCCCAGUAGUCAUCAACCUUUAGCACUCCUACUUCCCAAGCUGCUAUCAGAUAGGAACACUAUAGCAGUAAUUGAAUUUGCUUUUUAUGAUCGGUGUGAGGCCUUUACUGCCAUAGACAGAGACUGCUGCCGGCAUAAUCAUAUUUUUUUCUUAUUUCAAGAUUAGAUUAAUGCAAUAAAACUUCACCUUUAAAAAAUAA